rnacentral:rRNA from 1 species
CAGUCGCCGCGGUAAAACGUAGGUGGCAAGCGUUGUCCGGAAUUAUUGGGCGUAAAGCGCGCGCAGGCGGAUAGGUCAGUCUGUCUUAAAAGUUCGGGGCUUAACCCCGUGAUGGGAUGGAAACUGCCAAUCUAGAGUAUCGGAGAGGAAAGUGGAAUUCCUAGUGUAGCGGUGAAAUGCGUAGAUAUUAGGAAGAACACCAGUGGCGAAGGCGACUUUCUGGACGAAAACUGACGCUGAGGCGCGAAAGCCAGGGGAGCGAACGGGAUUAGAUACCCCCGUAGUCCCUGUCUCUUAUACA